GAUGGGAGCUUGCUCCCUGAUGUUAGCGGCGGACGGGUGAGUAACACGUGGGUAACCUGCCUGUAAGACUGGGAUAACUCCGGGAAACCGGGGCUAAUACCGGAUGGUUGUUUGAACCGCAUGGUUCAAACAUAAAAGGUGGCUUCGGCUACCACUUACAGAUGGACCCGCGGCGCAUUAGCUAGUUGGUGAGGUAACGGCUCACCAAGGCAACGAUGCGUAGCCGACCUGAGAGGGUGAUCGGCCACACUGGGACUGAGACACGGCCCAGACUCCUACGGGAGGCAGCAGUAGGGAAUCUUCCGCAAUGGACGAAAGUCUGACGGAGCAACGCCGCGUGAGUGAUGAAGGUUUUCGGAUCGUAAAGCUCUGUUGUUAGGGAAGAACAAGUACCGUUCGAAUAGGGCGGUACCUUGACGGUACCUAACCAGAAAGCCACGGCUAACUACGUGCCAGCAGCCGCGGUAAUACGUAGGUGGCAAGCGUUGUCCGGAAUUAUUGGGCGUAAAGGGCUCGCAGGCGGUUUCUUAAGUCUGAUGUGAAAGCCCCCGGCUCAACCGGGGAGGGUCAUUG
rnacentral:rRNA from 1 species